rnacentral:misc_RNA from 1 species
AACUUUUAGCAAUGGAUCUCUUGGCUCUCGCAUCGAUGAAGAACGCAGCGAAAUGCGAUACGUAAUGUGAAUUGCAGAAUUCAGUGAAUCAUCGAAUCUUUGAACGCACCUUGCGCCCCUUGGUAUUCCGAGGGGCACACCCGUUUGAGUGUCGUGAAAAUCUCAACCUUCUCGGUUUCUUCUGGACACCGAAGGAGGCUUGGACUUUGGAGGCCUUUGCUGGCGUCUCUCGCCAGCUCCUCUCAAAUGAAUUAGUGGGGUCCUCUUUGCCGAUCCUCGACAUGUGAUAAGAUGUUUCCAUGUCUUGGUUUAUGGCUCUGUUGCUUUUGGGACCCGCUUCUAACCGUCUCAACGAGACAACGUUCGAGCGUGUCGAACACUCUUGAACCCACGAACCCUUGACCUCAAAUCGGGUGAGACUACCCGCUGAACUUAAGCAUAUCAAUAAGCGGAGGCU